ACCCAGCUGACGAGUCCCAAACAGGAAGAAAUGCACGUCGUGGAU
rnacentral:hammerhead_ribozyme from 1 species